UACGAAGGGGGCUAGCGUUGUUCGGAAUCACUGGGCGUAAAGCGCAUGCAGGCGGAUCGUUAAGUCGGGGGUGAAAGCCCGAGGCUCAACCUCGGAACUGCCUUCGAUACUGGCGAUCUAGAGUCCGGAAGAGGCGAGUGGAAUUCCCGGUGUAGCGGUGAAAUGCGCAGAUAUCGGGAGGAACACCAAUGGCGAAGGCAGCUCGCUGGGACGGUACUGACGCUGAGACGCGAAAGCGUGGGGAGCAAACAGG
rnacentral:rRNA from 1 species